GGCACGAGUUGUAGAGUGUAGGCGGGAGUCUUUGUGGAGCACGGUGUCCAAGUCCCUUGGAACAGGGCGCCUGAGAGGGUGAGAGCCCCGUGGGGUGCCGUGCGAAGCUUUGAGGCCCUGCUGACGAGUCGAGUUGUUUGGGAAUGCAGCUCCAAGUGGGUGGUAAAUUCCAUCUAAGGCUAAAUACUGGCGAGAGACCGAUAGCGAACAAGUACUGUGAAGGAAAGAUGAAAAGCACUUUGAAAAGAGAGUGAAACAGCACGUGAAAUUGUUGAAAGGGAAGGGUAUUGGGCCCGACAUGGGGAGUGCGCACCGCUGUCUCUUGUAGGCGGCGCUCUGGGCGCUCUCUGGGCCAGCAUCGGUUCUUGCUGCGGGAGAAUGGGUGCCGGAAAGUGGCUCUUCGGAGUGUUAUAGCCGGCGCCAGAUACCGCGUGCGGGGACCGAGGACUGCGGCUUCUGUCUCGGAUGCUGGCACAACGGCGCAAUACCGCCCGUCUUGAAACACG
rnacentral:rRNA from 1 species